rnacentral:rRNA from 1 species
AUUGAACGCUGGCGGCAUGCUUUACACAUGCAAGUCGAACGGUAACAGGCCGCAAGGUGCUGACGAGUGGCGAACGGGUGAGUAAUGCAUCGGAACGUGCCCAGUCGUGGGGGAUAACGCAGCGAAAGCUGCGCUAAUACCGCAUACGAUCUAUGGAUGAAAGCGGGGGACCGUAAGGCCUCGCGCGAUUGGAGCGGCCGAUGUCAGAUUAGGUAGUUGGUGGGGUAAAGGCUCACCAAGCCGACGAUCUGUAGCUGGUCUGAGAGGACGACCAGCCACACUGGGACUGAGACACGGCCCAGGCUCCUACGGGAGGCAGCAGUGGGGAAUUUUGGACAAUGGGCGCAAGCCUGAUCCAGCAAUGCCGCGUGCAGGAAGAAGGCCUUCGGGUUGUAAACUGCUUUUGUACGGAACGAAACGGUCUGGGUUAAUACCCUGGGCUAAUGACGGUACCGUAAGAAUAAGCACCGGCUAACUACGUGCCAGCAGCCGCCGUAAAAC